GACAGCUCAGUUGGUUAGAGCGUGGUGCUGAUAACACCAAGGUCGCAGGUUGGAUCCCCUUAAGGGGCA